rnacentral:rRNA from 1 species
UACGAAGGGUGCUAGCGUUGUUCGGAAUCACUGGGCGUAAAGCGCGCGUAGGCGGCGACACAAGUCAGGGGUGAAAUCCCAGAGCUUAACUCUGGAACUGCCUUUGAAACUGUGUUGCUAGAGUACUGGAGGGGAGCGGGGAAUUCCUAAUGUAGAGGUGAAAUUCGUAGAUAUUAGGAGGAACACCGGUGGCGAAGGCGCCGCUCUGGACAGUAACUGACGCUGAGGCGCGAAAGCGUGGGGAUCAAACAGG